rnacentral:rRNA from 1 species
UACAGAGGGGGCAAGCGUUGUUCGGAAUUACUGGGCGUAAAGGGCGCGUAGGCGGCCUGUUAAGUCGAACGUGAAAUCCCCGGGCUCAACCUGGGAACUGCGUCCGAUACUGGAAGGCUUGAAUCCGGGAGAGGGAUGCGGAAUUCCAGGUGUAGCGGUGAAAUGCGUAGAUAUCUGGAGGAACACCGGUGGCGAAGGCGGCAUCCUGGACCGGCAUUGACGCUGAGGCGCGGAAGCCAGGGGAGCAAACGGG